UUAACAGAUAGAGGUUGCGUGGAUUAAGAGUAAUCUGCCGUAUGUUCCGAUUCACAGAUGAGGGCAGAGGAAAGGAAGACACGCCGAAAGAAUAUAUGGGAACGGCUGUAUAUUGCUUGGGGGCAAUGUGAAGAACAUUGUAACUGUCAUCGAAAACGAUGGUGCGCUAUCACUGAA
rfam:Roseburia sp. CAG:50 genomic scaffold, scf288